rnacentral:rRNA from 1 species
GACGGUGCAAGCUGUCACUUACAGAUGGGCCUGCGGUGCAUUAGCUAGUUGGUGGGGUAACGGCUCACCAAGGCGACGAUGCAUAGCCGACCUGAGAGGGUGAUCGGCCACACUGGGACUGAGACACGGCCCAGACUCCUACGGGAGGCAGCAGUAGGGAAUCUUCCGCAAUGGACGAAAGUCUGACGGAGCAACGCCGCGUGAGUGAUGAAGGUUUUCGGAUCGUAAAGCUCUGUUGCCAGGGAAGAACAGCUAGGCGAGUAACUGCGCUUAGAAUGACGGUACCUGAGAAGAAAGCCCCGGCUAACUACGUGCCAGCAGCCGCGGUAAUACGUAGGGGGCAAGCGUUGUCCGGAAUUAUUGGGCGUAAAGCGCGCGCAGGCGGCUUUGUAAGUCUAGUGUUUAAUCUCGGAGCUCAACUCCGAUUCGCACCGGAAACUGCAAGGCUUGAGUACAGAAGAGGAAAGUGGAAUUCCACGUGUAGCGGUGAAAUGCGUAGAGAUGUGGAGGAACACCAGUGGCGAAGGCGACUUUCUGGGCUGUAACUGACGCUGAGC